rnacentral:rRNA from 1 species
UACGAAGGUCCCAAGCGUUAUCCGGAAUUAUUGGGCGUAAAGCGCAUGUAGGCGGUUUACUAAGUCUGGUGUGAAAGCUCACGGCCUAACCGUGAAAUUGCAUUGGAAACUGGUGAACUAGAAUACUGGAGGGGUAAGUGGAAUUCCAUGUGUAGCGGUGGAAUGCGUAGAUAUAUGGAGGAACACCAAUGGCGAAGGCAGCUUACUGGACAGAGAUUGACGCUGAGAUGCGAAAGCGUGGGGAGCAAACAGG